UACGAAGGGGGCUAGCGUUGCUCGGAAUCAUUGGGCGUAAAGGGUGCGUAGGCGGCGCGGUAAGUCGGGUGUGAAAUCUCGGAGCUUAACUCCGAAACUGCAUUCGAUACUGCCGUGCUUGAGGACUGGAGAGGAGACUGGAAUUUACGGUGUAGCAGUGAAAUGCGUAGAUAUCGUAAGGAAGACCAGUGGCGAAGGCGGGUCUCUGGACAGUUCCUGACGCUGAGGCACGAAGGCCAGGGGAGCAAACGGG
rnacentral:rRNA from 1 species